rnacentral:rRNA from 1 species
CCCUUAGAUGUUCUGGGCCGCACGCGUGCUACACUGAGUGGAUCAGCGGGUCAGGUUGCGCGAAAGUGUUUCCUAAUCUUUAAAUCCGCUCGUGAUGGGGAUUGACGGUUGCAAUUUUCCGUCAUGAACGAGGAAUACCUUGUAAGCGCGGGUCAUCAUCCCGCGCUGAAUACGUCCCUGCCCUUUGUACACACAGCCCGUCGCUCCUACCGAUUGAGUGGUCCGGUGAGGCUUUGGGAUCUGAGCGGAAAGAGCGUUUCGCUGUUUCUGCCCGGAAAACUCAGUCGAACCUUAUCAUUUAGAGGAAGGAGAAGUCGUAACA